UUGAAAUUUCAUAAGACUCACUCAAUUACAUCAUAGCUAUCAUACACCUUUGACCCCUUUUCUUGAUUGUCAGUGAGGGUUGAAAGUAUUUGGGAGUUGAAUGGAGUUGUCUCUUUUUGAUCUAGAUAGCAUGUCAAGGGGUAUAUGCCUCACAAUGUUAUCUAGGUCAAAUGCAACUUUUGCUUAAAAAUAUACUUGGACGUAAUGCUGCUGUCAAUUUUCUCCAUUUGAUAUUGUGCAUGCAUUAGUUUCCUAUGCAAUAGUCCUGCCAGUUAGCAUAUGAUUGCAGCAUUACUUCUCUGAAUGAGUGGUGUCUUAAAUUUACUUGGAUUGCCAACUUUUGAUCUUUUUACGUUUCUUGUGUUUAUCUUGCAUGCAAAAGGUAGAUGCUUCAAGUUUCACUGUCUGUGCCACAGUUUUGAUGACUUUUUGAUGGACAUGAAGCAGGACAAAAGGAAAAAUAUAUGUCAGGAGCGCAAGAUUUCUGCCCAAAACUUGACAAUGAAGCGGCUUCGAGGGAAUGAAAUAAAGGCUAAGCACUGGGGUUCUUUCUAUACGUUCUAGAAAUGUCAUUCCAGAAGUUGACAAAGCUUUUCUCUACAUUAUAAUAGUCCUCAUAUGCUAAUGAAAAAUUUCCCAUCAAGGAAUUUGCAGUGGAGUUGCAGAAACAAAGAGGAAAGAGGAAGUGGUAGAUCAACUAAUAUUAGCGAAAAGCAGAUUUGCUAUGUGAGGAUAAUAGUUCUUGUGAUAUGGAAGCAUGCGCUUGUCAUGUUUGGAACAAUAUAACUAUUUACUUUUAUCUACAUAACAAGCAAUAGAAGCUGCUAUAGAGCUUAAUUUGAAAACAGUGGAGGCAGGGGCUCAGGGUGAGCAUAAAAUUCAGCAAGGUUAUAUGCCUGUACCCACUUAUAGCUACCACUACCUUCUGGAUGAGGAAUUCAGCAAGGCCAUAGAAGAAUUUGUAGUGCGCGAGGCAACUCAGGUCAAACUUGUGAUGAAUUUGAUCCGCAAUUCUGGACCCUUUAAAGAAGGCAUACAGUAGACACAUGCAGGUAGGAAGUCCAUGUCUGUAUGGUUGUGGUAUGUACAUCUUGAUGAAGGAAAGAUCUAUCCAUUUCUAAUGUACAGAUCCGUUAGUCGACCAUUUCAUUCUAGUAAAAGAGUCGCUAUAGAAACAAUGCUUGUGGGUUUUUGCGAUCUGGCCGCCUUGGUGUGAUGUCGAUAUGGAGACCCUCCCUACUUGAUCUCGAAGCUCCUGAUGAUCUUAAAGAGGCAUAACAUCAUCAGUGCAUGACAUCAUCAGUGAAAACAUAUAUCAUCAAAUCGUCAGCCAGGCCUCCAAAGUUCUCCAAUUGCGGAAGGCUGACGAUCGGCCAUUUCUUCACUUGGAUUGUUCUCUACUUGUUAAAAAUAAGGUUUGCCCCAUA